rnacentral:rRNA from 1 species
GCGGCGGACGGGUUAGUAACGCGUGGGAACGUACCCAGAUCUAAGGAAUAGCCACUGGAAACGGUGAGUAAUACCUUAUACGCCCUUCGGGGGAAAGAUUUAUCGGAUUUGGAUCGGCCCGCGUUAGAUUAGGUAGUUGGUGGGGUAAUGGCCUACCAAGCCUACGAUCUAUAGCUGGUUUUAGAGGAUGAUCAGCAACACUGGGACUGAGACACGGCCCAGACUCCUACGGGAGGCAGCAGUGGGGAAUCUUAGACAAUGGGCGCAAGCCUGAUCUAGCCAUGCCGCGUGAGUGAUGAAGGCCUUAGGGUCGUAAAACUCUUUCGCCUGUGAUGAUAGUGACAGUAGCAGGUAAAGAAACCCCGGCUAACUCCGUGCCAGCAGCCGCGGUAGUACGGAGGGGGUUAGCGUUGUUCGGAAUUACUGGGCGUAAAGCGCACGUAGGCGGAUUAGAAAGUUAGGGGUGAAAUCCCGGGGCUCAACCUCGGAACUGCCUCUAAAACUCCUAGUCUUGAGUUCGAGAGAGGUGAGUGGAAUUCCAAGUGUAGAGGUGAAAUUCGUAGAUAUUUGGAGGAACACCAGUGGCGAAGGCGGCUCACUGGCUCGAUACUGACGCUGAGGUGCGAAAGUGUGGGGAGCAAACAGGAUUAGAUACCCUGGUAGAAGGGCG